rnacentral:rRNA from 1 species
CCUACGGGAGGCAGCAGUGGGGAAUAUUGGGCAAUGGAGGCAACUCUGACCCAGCAACGCCGCGUGAGCGAUGAAGGUCUUCGGAUUGUAAAGCUCUUUAAGCGGGGACGAAGAAAGUGACUGUACCCGCAGAAUAAGCCUCGGCUAACUACGUGCCAGCAGCCGCGGUAAUACGUAGGAGGCAAGCGUUAUCCGGAAUGACUGGGCGUAAAGGGUGCGUAGGUGGUUUGGCAAGUUGGUAGCGUAAUCCCGGGGCUCAACCUCGGUGCUACUACCAAAACUGUUGAACUUGAGUGCAGGAGGGGUGAAUGGAAUUCCUGGUGUAGCGGUGAAAUGCGUAGAUAUCAGGAGGAACACCGGUGGCGAAGGCGGCCUGCUGGACUGCAACUGACGUUGAGGCCCGAAAGCGUGGGGAGCAAACAGGAUUAGAUACCCCAGUAGUC